CGGGACACGUGGUAUCCUGUCUGAAUAUGGGGGGACCAUCCUCCAAGGCUAAAUACUCCUGACUGACCGAUAGUGAACCAGUACCGUGAGGGAAAGGCGAAAAGAACCCCGGCGAGGGGAGUGAAAAAGAACCUGAAACCGUGUACGUACAAGCAGUGGGAGCACGCUUAGGCGUGUGACUGCGUACCUUUUGUAUAAUGGGUCAGCGACUUAUAUUCUGUAGCAAGGUUAACCGAAUAGGGGAGCCGAAGGGAAACCGAGUCUUAACUGGGCGUUAAGUUGCAGGGUAUAGACCCGAAACCCGGUGAUCUAGCCAUGGGCAGGUUGAAGGUUGGGUAACACUAACUGGAGGACCGAACCGACUAAUGUUGAAAAAUUAGCGGAUGACUUGUGGCUGGGGGUGAAAGGCCAAUCAAACCGGGAGAUAGCUGGUUCUCCCCGAAAGCUAUUUAGGUAGCGCCUCGUGAAUUCAUCUCCGGGGGUAGAGCACUGUUUCGGCAAGGGGGUCAUCCCGACUUACCAACCCGAUGCAAACUGCGAAUACCGGAGAAUGUUAUCACGGGAGACACACGGCGGGUGCUAACGUCCGUCGUGAAGAGGGAAACAACCCAGACCGCCAGCUAAGGUCCCAAAGUCAUGGUUAAGUGGGAAACGAUGUGGGAAGGCCCAGACAGCCAGGAUGUUGGCUUAGAAGCAGCCAUCAUUUAAAGAAAGCGUAAUAGCUCACUGGUCGAGUCGGCCUGCGCGGAAGAUGUAACGGGGCUAAACCAUGCACCGAAGCUGCGGCAGCGACGCUGAUGCGUUGUUGGGUAGGGGAGCGUUCUGUAAGCCUGUGAAGGUGUGCUGUGAGGCAUGCUGGAGGUAUCAGAAGUGCGAAUGCUGACAUAAGUAACGAUAAAGCGGGUGAAAAGCCCGCUCGCCGGAAGACCAAGGGUUCCUGUCCAACGUUAAUCGGGGCAGGGUGAGUCGACCCCUAAGGCGAGGCCGAAAGGCGUAGUCGAUGGGAAACAGGUUAAUAUUCCUGUACUUGGUGUUACUGCGAAGGGGGGACGGAGAAGGCUAUGUUGGCCGGGCGACGGUUGUCCCGGUUUAAGCGUGUAGGCUGGUUUUCCAGGCAAAUCCGGAAAAUCAAGGCUGAGGCGUGAUGACGAGGCACUACGGUGCUGAAGCAACAAAUGCCCUGCUUCCAGGAAAAGCCUCUAAGCAUCAGGUAACAUCAAAUCGUACCCCAAACCGACACAGGUGGUCAGGUAGAGAAUACCAAGGCGCUUGAGAGAACUCGGGUGAAGGAACUAGGCAAAAUGGUGCCGUAACUUCGGGAGAAGGCACGCUGAUAUGUAGGUGAAGCGACUUGCUCGUGGAGCUGAAAUCAGUCGAAGAUACCAGCUGGCUGCAACUGUUUAUUAAAAACACAGCACUGUGCAAACACGAAAGUGGACGUAUACGGUGUGACGCCUGCCCGGUGCCGGAAGGUUAAUUGAUGGGGUCAGCGCAAGCGAAGCUCUUGAUCGAAGCCCCGGUAAACGGCGGCCGUAACUAUAACGGUCCUAAGGUAGCGAAAUUCCUUGUCGGGUAAGUUCCGACCUGCACGAAUGGCGUAAUGAUGGCCAGGCUGUCUCCACCCGAGACUCAGUGAAAUUGAACUCGCUGUGAAGAUGCAGUGUACCCGCGGCAAGACGGAAAGACCCCGUGAACCUUUACUAUAGCUUGACACUGAACAUUGAGCCUUGAUGUGUAGGAUAGGUGGGAGGCUUUGAAGUGUGGACGCCAGUCUGCAUGGAGCCGGCCUUGAAAUACCACCCUUUAAUGUUUGAUGUUCUAACGUUGACCCGUGAUCCGGGUUGCGGACAGUGUCUGGUGGGUAGUUUGACUGGGGCGGUCUCCUCCUAAAGAGUAACGGAGGAGCACGAAGGUUGGCUAAUCCUGGUCGGACAUCAGGAGGUUAGUGCAAUGGCAUAAGCCAGCUUGACUGCGAGCGUGACGGCGCGAGCAGGUGCGAAAGCAGGUCAUAGUGAUCCGGUGGUUCUGAAUGGAAGGGCCAUCGCUCAACGGAUAAAAGGUACUCCGGGGAUAACAGGCUGAUACCGCCCAAGAGUUCAUAUCGACGGCGGUGUUUGGCACCUCGAUGUCGGCUCAUCACAUCCUGGGGCUGAAGUAGGUCCCAAGGGUAUGGCUGUUCGCCAUUUAAAGUGGUACGCGAGCUGGGUUUAGAACGUCGUGAGACAGUUCGGUCCCUAUCUGCCGUGGGCGCUGGAGAACUGAGGGGGGCUGCUCCUAGUACGAGAGGACCGGAGUGGACGCAUCACUGGUGUUCGGGUUGUCAUGC
rnacentral:rRNA from 1 species